rnacentral:rRNA from 1 species
AGGUUGACCUCGGAUCAGGUAGGGAUACCCGCUGAACUUAAGCAUAUCAAAAGCGA